AACGAACGCUGGCGGCAGGCCUAACACAUGCAAGUCGAACGCUCUAGCAAUAGAGAGUGGCAGACGGGUGAGUAACGCGUGGGAACCUUCCCAAUGGUGCAGAAUAGCCCAGGGAAACUUGGGGUAAUACUGCAUAAGCCCUUCGGGGGAAAGAUUUAUCGCCAUUGGAUGGGCCUGCGUCGGAUUAGCUAGUUGGUGAGGUAAUGGCUCACCAAGGCAACGAUCCGUAGCUGGUUUGAGAGAAUGACCAGCCACACUGGGACUGAGACACGGCCCCGGCUCCCACGGGAGGCAGCAGUGGGGAAUCUUGGACAAUGGGCGCAAGCCUGGUCCAGCCAUGCCGCGUGAGUGACGAAGGCCUUAGGGUUGUAAAGCUCUUUUGCCGGGGACGGUAAUGACGGUACCCGGAGAAUAAGUCCCGGCUGACUUCGUGCCAGCAGCCGCAGUAA
rnacentral:rRNA from 1 species